rnacentral:rRNA from 1 species
UACGUAGGGCGCAAGCGUUGUCCGGAAUUAUUGGGCGUAAAGAGCUCGUAGGCGGCUUGUCACGUCGGGUGUGAAAGACCGGGGCUUAACCCCGGUUCUGCAUUCGAUACGGGCUGGCUAGAGUGUGGUAGGGGAGAUCGGAAUUCCUGGUGUAGCGGUGAAAUGCGCAGAUAUCAGGAGGAACACCGGUGGCGAAGGCGGAUCUCUGGGCCUUACCUGACGCUGAGGCGCGAAAGCUAGGGGAGCGAACAGG